rnacentral:rRNA from 1 species
GACGAACCGUGCGAACGUUGUUCGGAAUCACUGGGCUUAAAGGGCGCGUAGGCGGCUUGCCAAGUCAGGGGUGAAAGCCUCCAGCUUAACUGGAGAAGUGCCUUUGAUACUGGCGAGCUAGAGCGAGGUAGGGGCAGAUGGAACUUCCGGUGGAGCGGUGAAAUGCGUUGAUAUCGGAAGGAACGCCGGUGGCGAAAGCGAUCUGCUGGACCUCUUCUGACGCUGAGGCGCGAAAGCUAGGGUAGCGAACGGG